rnacentral:rRNA from 1 species
GACAGAGGCCUCGAGCGUUAGGCGGAAUCACUGGGCUUAAAGCGUGUGUAGGCGGGCCCGUAAGUGUCUUGUGAAAUCCCCCGGCUCAACCGGGGAACGGCUGGGCAUACUGCGGGUCUUGGGCCGACUAGGGGCAGCCGGAACAAGCGGUGGAGCGGUGAAGUGCGUAGAUAUCGCUUGGAGCGCCGAAGGUGAAAACAGGCUGCUGGGGUCGCGCCGACGCUGAGACACGAAAGCCAGGGGAGCAAACGGG